UACGGAGGGUGCAAGCGUUAAUCGGAUUUACUGGGCGUAAAGCGCGCGUAGGCGGCUUGUUAAGUCGGAUGUGAAAGCCCUGGGCUCAACCUAGGAACUGCAUUCGAUACUGGCGAGCUAGAGUACGAUAGAGGGUGGUAGAAUUCCUAGUGUAGCGGUGAAAUGCGUAGAUAUUAGGAGGAAUACCGGUGGCGAAGGCGGCCACCUGGAUCGAUACUGACGCUGAAGUGCGAAAGCGUGGGGAGCAAACAGG
rnacentral:rRNA from 1 species